rnacentral:rRNA from 1 species
CGGCGUGCCUAAUACAUGCAAGUAGAACGCACAGUUUAUUCCGUAGCUUGCUACACCAUAGACUGUGAGUUGCGAACGGGUGAGUAACGCGUAGGUAACCUGCCUAUUAGAGGGGGAUAACUAUUGGAAACGAUAGCUAAUACCGCAUAACAGUAUGUAACACAUGUUAGAUGCUUGAAAGAUGCAAUUGCAUCGCUAGUAGAUGGACCUGCGUUGUAUUAGCUAGUAGGUAGGGUAAAGGCCUACCUAGGCAACGAUACAUAGCCGACCUGAGAGGGUGAUCGGCCACACUGGGACUGAGACACGGCCCAGACUCCUACGGGAGGCAGCAGUAGGGAAUCUUCGGCAAUGGGGGGAACCCUGACCGAGCAACGCCGCGUGAGUGAAGAAGGUUUUCGGAUCGUAAAGCUCUGUUGUUAAGGAAGAACGAGUGUGAGAAUGGAAAGUUCAUACUGUGACGGUACUUAACCAGAAAGGGACGGCUAACUACGUGCCAGCAGCCGCGGUAAUACGUAGGUCCCGAGCGUUGUCCGGAUUUAUUGGGCGUAAAGCGAGCGCAGGCGGUUAGAAAAGUCUGAAGUGAAAGGCAGUGGCUCAACCAUUGUAGGCUUUGGAAACUGUUUAACUUGAGUGCAGAAGGGGAGAGUGGAAUUCCAUGUGUAGCGGUGAAAUGCGUAGAUAUAUGGAGGAACACCGGUGGCGAAAGCGGCUCUCUGGUCUGUAACUGACGCUGAGGCUCGAAAGCGUGGGGAGCGAACAGGAUUAGAUACCCUGGUAGUCCACGCCGUAAACGAUGAGUGCUAGGUGUUAGGUCCUUUCCGGGACUUAGUGCCGUAGCUAACGCAUUAAGCACUCCGCCUGGGGAGUACGACCGCCAAGGUUG